rnacentral:rRNA from 1 species
AGAAUCAACGCUGGCGGCGUGCCUAACACAUGCAAGUCGCACGAGAAAGGGACUUCGGUCCUGAGUACAGUGGCGCACGGGUGAGUAACACGUGAAUCAUCUACCUUCGAGUGGGAAUAACUGAGAGAAAUCUUAGCUAAUACCGCAUAAUACCUACGGGUCAAAGCAGCAAUGCGCUUGAAGAGGAGUUCGCGGCAGAUUAGUUAGUUGGCGGGGUAAUGGCCCACCAAGACGAUGAUCUGUA